GUGAACGCUGGCGGUAGGCCUAACACAUGUAAGUCGAACGGCAGCACAGUAAGAGCUUGCUCUUACGGGUGGCGAGUGGCGGACGGGUGAGGAAUACAUCGGAAUCUACUUUUUCGUGGGGGAUAACGUAGGGAAACUUACGCUAAUACCGCAUACGACCUACGGGUGAAAGCAGGGGAUCUUCGGACCUUGCGCGAUUGAAUGAGCCGAUGUCGGAUUAGCUAGUUGGCGGGGUAAAGGCCCACCAAGGCGACGAUCCGUAGCUGGUCUGAGAGGAUGAUCAGCCACACUGGAACUGAGACACGGUCCAGACUCCUACGGGAGGCAGCAGUGGGGAAUAUUGGACAAUGGGCGCAAGCCUGAUCCAGCCAUACCGCGUGGGUGAAGAAGGCCUUCGGGUUGUAAAGCCCUUUUGUUGGGAAAGAAAAGCAGCAGGUUAAUACCCCGCUGUUCUGACGGUACCCAAAGAAUAAGCACCGGCUAACUUCGUG
rnacentral:rRNA from 1 species